AGAGCUCCUCACAAUCCAUUCAGUUGGAGAACAUGAGUGAUUUCUCCUUGCUGCUCUACCUGUGACUGUGUCUCAUUGCCAUCUCAGACAGAGCAGGAGAGUCCGGAUGCCGAAUUUGGAACUCGUGAUCUUGUAAUCCAGAAAUAUCCUAAGGUCUGCCAGUACUGCAGUGAGGGAGCCACCAGGUCCUGCGUGGAGGUUCAGCUGCCCCCUUCUAAUGGGCCAGUGUAUGUUGUAAGAAUCUAAUGGAUUAACAUACAGGGCCUGAAAAUGAGAGAUUACAUCCUGGACAUUGCUCUUCCCAAAAAAAUAGUAACAAAAUGAGCAACAACUGGGAAGAAAAGUAUUUCAGAAGCACAUAGAAGACACUGCAGAGCUCAGACUGAUGUAAUAGCAAUACAGGAGGUUUCUUUGUAACAGGGCUUUGAUAAUAAACCACUAAAAUAAAAAGACAACAAAUACAUAA